UCCCCGCUUCAUAAGUGUCGCGUAUCUGCUU
rnacentral:piRNA from 1 species